UACGUAGGGCGCAAGCGUUGUCCGGAUUUAUUGGGCGUAAAGAGCUCGUAGGCGGUUUGGCAAGUCGGGUGUGAAAACUCCGGGCUCAACUCGGAGACGCCACUCGAUACUGCUAUGACUCGAGUCCGGUAGGGGAGUGCGGAAUUCCUGGUGUAGCGGUGAAAUGCGCAGAUAUCAGGAGGAACACCGGUGGCGAAGGCGGCACUCUGGGCCGGUACUGACGCUGAGGAGCGAAAGCGUGGGGAGCGAACAGG
rnacentral:rRNA from 1 species